GUGCUUGCUUUGGCAGCACAUAUACUAAAAUUGGAACAAUACAGAGAAGAUUAUCAGGCCCCCUGCUCAAGGAUGACACACAAAUUUAUGAAGCAGUCCAUAUUUUA
ensembl:snRNA U6 U6 spliceosomal RNA